CCUACGGGUGGCAGCAGUGAGGAAUAUUGGUCAAUGGACGAGAGUCUGAACCAGCCAAGUAGCGUGAAGGAUGACUGCCCUAUGGGUUGUAAACUUCUUUUAUAUGGGAAUAAAAUGUUCCACGUGUGGGAUUUUGUCUGUACCAUAUGAAUAAGGAUCGGCUAACUCCGUUCCAGCAGCCGCGGUAAUACGGAGGAUCCGAGCGUUAUCCGGAUUUAUUGGGUUUAAAGGGAGCGUAGGUGGAUUGUUAAGUCAGUUGUGAAAGUUUGCGGCUCAACCGUAAAAUUGCAGUUGAAACUGGCAGUCUUGAGUACAGUAGAGGUGGGCGGAAUUCGUGGUGUAGCGGUGAAAGGCUUAGAUAUCACGAAGAACUCCGAUUGCGAAGGCAGCUCACUGGACUGCAACUGACACUGAGGCUCGAAAGUGUGGGUAUCAAACAGGAUUAGAUACCCUAGUAGUC
rnacentral:rRNA from 1 species